rnacentral:rRNA from 1 species
CCUACGGGUGGCAGCAGUGGGGGAUAUUGCACAAUGGGGGAAACCCUGAUGCAGCGACGCCGCGUGGGUGAAGAAGUAUUUCGGUAUGUAAAGCCCUAUCAGCAGGGAAGAAAGAAGACGGUACCUGACUAAGAAGCCCCGGCUAACUACGUGCCAGCAGCCGCGGUAAUACGUAGGGGGCGAGCGUUAUCCGGAUUCACUGGGGGUAAAGGGAGCGUAGACGGCCGUGCAAACCAGGAGUGAAAGCCCGGGGCCCAACCCCGGGACUGCUCUUGGAACUGGGCGGCUGGAGUGCGGGAGGGGCAGGCGGAAUUCCUGGUGUAGCGGUGAAAUGCGUAGAUAUCAGGAGGAACACCGGCGGCGAAGGCGGCCUGCUGGACCGCGACUGACGUUGAGGCUCGAAAGCGUGGGGAGCGAACAGGAUUAGAUACCCGUGUAGUC